rnacentral:rRNA from 1 species
AUUGAACGCUGGCGGCAGGCCUAACACAUGCAAGUCGAACGGUAACAGGAAACAGCUGGCUGUUUCGCUGACGAGUGGCGGACGGGUGAGUAAGGUCUGGGAAACUGCCUGAUGGAGAGGGAGAACUACUGGAAACGGUAGCUAAUACCGCAUAACGUCGCAAGAACAAAGAGGGGGAGCUUCUGGCCUCUUGCCAUCGGAUGGGCCCAGAUUGGAGUAGCUAGUAGGUGGGGUAACGGCUCACCUAGGCGACGAUCCCUAGCUGGUCUGAGAGGAUGACCAGCCACACUGGAACUGAGACACGGUCCAGACUCCUACGGGAGGCAGCAGUGGGGAAUAUUGCACAAUGGGCGCAAGCCUGAUGCAGCCAUGCCGCGUGUAUGAAGAAGGCCUUCGGGUUGUAAAGUACUUUCAGCGGGGAGGAAGGGAGUAAAGUCAAUACCUUUGCUCAUUGACGUUACCCACAGAAGAAGCACCGGCUAACUCCGUGCCAGCCGCCGCCGUAA